rnacentral:rRNA from 1 species
CCUACGGGAGGCUGCAGUGGGGAAUAUUGGACAAUGGGGGGAACCCUGAUCCAGCCAUGCCGCGUGUGUGAAGAAGGCCCUCGGGUUGUAAAGCACUUUCAGUGAGGAAGAACGCCUGGUGGUUAAUACCCAUCAGGAAAGACAUCACUCACAGAAGAAGCACCGGCUAACUCCGUGCCAGCAGCCGCGGUAAUACGGAGGGUGCGAGCGUUCAUCGGAAUUACUGGGCGUAAAGCGCGCGUAGGUGGCUUGAUAAGCCGGUUGUGAAAGCCCCGGGCUCAACCUGGGAACGGCAUCCGGAACUGUCAAGCUAGAGUGCAGGAGAGGAAGGUAGAAUUCCCGGUGUAGCGGUGAAAUGCGUAGAGAUCGGGAGGAAUACCAGUGGCGAAGGCGGCCUUCUGGACUGACACUGACACUGAGGUGCGAAAGCGUGGGUAGCAAACAGGAUUAGAUACCCUUGUAGUC